rnacentral:rRNA from 1 species
GAUGACUCGACGAGAGCAGGCGUGGUGAUUGUGGGUGGGUAAGCUGUAUCCGGGUGUAUUGGGUUUAAAGUGUCCGUAUGCUGACUUAUAAGUCAGUGGUUAAAGCCUGUCGCUUAACGAUAGAACUGCCAUUGAUACUGUAAGUCUUGAGUAUAUUUGAGGUAGCUGGAAUAAGUAGUGUAGCUGUGAAAUGCAUAUAUAUUACUUAGAACACCAAUUGCGAAGGCAGGUUACCAAGAUAUAACUGACGCUGAGGGACGAAAGCGUGGGGAGCGAACAGGAUUAGAUACCCGGGUAGUC